rnacentral:misc_RNA from 1 species
CUUUUGAACAGAUGUUUCAUCAACCAAGAUAGAAGGUAGUUUCUUUUCAGUUGCAAUGACUACACCAUUUGCAGCUUUGAUACCGAGAGAUGUCUGACCAGAUCCAACCGCUGUCAAGGCGUGCUCGAUCUGCACAAGCUUGCCCGAAGGACUGAAAGUGGUGAGAGAAAAAGAAUACUGGCCGUCUCCCAUGGCGUCUUGGAAAGAGUGAGUGGAGAAUCGAG